AAUGUUUUGGUCCUACGCCUUUCACAGAUGACAUAAAUUUCUACAAAUACAUUUAAACAACUUAACACAGUGAUUGCUAUCAGGAUGUGAGGAGACUUUUAACCAGCAUAACUUAAAAUGUUUCAGGAUCAAAUCUUACCCUACCUUUAAGCUAACAGAGUAACGCAUUAUACCCCCAGCUCAUGUCUCUCAGUUUAUCAGUAGUCUUCCUAUACUUUAUGGGCUAGUAGUGAUGCCAUAAGAUAACAUAGAUUGUGCGAUAUUGCUUUAUCAUAAUGACAAGUGCUCAUUGUGGGAGAAGGGGGCCAAAUACAUCUCUAUUUAUGAAGCUAAAUGAGGUGAACAGUACAGAAAUUGAGGUAAACAGAUCUGGAUCAAAAGUUACAAAAUCUACUAAUCCAGCAUCAAGUUGUUAUUGCUGCUAUUGAAGUACAGGGGCAAUGAUUGGUUGCUAACAACAUAGCUAAUGUAAUGCCUGUGAGUUGGCAUAUGCUCUCCAGUUCACACAGUUUAUAGAGUGCCGCAUGGGUGAUGUAGCUUGUAGACUAACCGGUAGUUAGCAGGACACUGAUUCCCUAACCAAAAAGCCCAUUCAUUUUUCCCAUAGACUUUUGGAUUAUAGCAAUUAACAAACUCUCUGAUUAACAAAAGUUUAUGACACUUACGUUUUGUUCAAUAAAAUAAUCUUCACACAUGAACACAACUUUUAUGCAUUUUGAAGUCUAAAUUUGUUUACUAGAAAUGAAAAGCUAAUCUUGAACUACACCACAGUCUCUCUACAUCAACGUCAUCAGUAUUAAGGAAAUACUCUGUGGAUGAAUUUUUAUUGGGAAUUAUGCCCAUGUUGUAUUGUUUUUGAAAUCUUCAUGCGUGAUGGCAUUCAAUGUCUGUAGUGUCCAUAGCAACUUGUUAGCAACCACCCUUUUAAAGACACUUAAAAGCUUUAAAUAGUCUUUGUGGGGGUAUUACUGUUGUGUUUUAUGUUAUAGAAUGAAACGUGAACAAAUCUCCUAUGUUAACACAAAACCCCAUUCACAAAACUUAUUGACUUUGGGACGAUGGAUCCGGAAGUGCUAAAAUGCUAACUCGUUUCUGGGUUUUACCUACAAAAAUAUGCAUGUGGCACUCUAGACCAUUACCUCUCAGAGCAGUUACCUGGGCCAUGAUGGGCAUCUGCUCUAACUGUAGCAGCACACUUCUUUAUUGACUUCUUUUAUUAUUAUUCACAAUGUUGAGUGACAACAGAGGCCAAAUCAUUAUGGUAACUCAAAUCCUGGAAAUGAUGAACAAUAUAUCAUAAUGACUAGUCUAAUGUAUGGAUGUAUGCAUGUACGUACAGUGAAUAUACAAACAUAAAUGUACACAAAACUUUUACCUUUGUUUUAUUGGUAUAUUUAGCAUUAUUGUAUGUAGUUUUAGAUCAUAUUGGGAGGAUCUGAACUAGUGGCUAAGCCAGAAGGGUUUCCCAGUAUGGAAAAACUGCACCAUUGUGCACUGUAUUAUACUUUUACCAUUAUUUAAAUUGUGUUAGGCUAUAAUAUAUAUUUUUUACUUUAAUUGACAAUUAAUUGAUGUAGUUUGCAAAUAUAGUCUUCUGCCAUUCUCCUCUACCAGCUAAACUGCUACAUAGGUGAUCGCAUUUACAUUUAUUCAUUUAGUUUUGUCCGAUUUAAAUUAGAAAUGAUGAAUACAAGCAAAUCGGCUUAUGAGGAGGCAGUAGCAGCAAUACAUGGUUUGAAUCAUUGUCUAGAACUUUAAAAGCAAGGAGAGGAGUAGAUGUGAAAGAUAUUUUGCUUUUAUUUUAGAAAUAGUUAGGAGGAUGCAGUUAAAGAGUUUCAGAAUGAAUGUAGACCGUGUCUAAGAACUGAAAUGAAAUUCUUAUUGACGUUCUAAGAAUCCACUUUGAACUUCUAAGAAUCAAACAUUUUGAUAACAUUCGUGAAAGUCAUUUUAAUGUUAGCUACAACUUAAACUGCUUUUGGUGUUGUGUUGAAAUAGUUUAAAACAAGCAGGUUCAUGAAUCUAUGACACCACAGUUUUGAAAUGGUUUAGUCACUAUAGUUUAUAUGCAAGAAACCAUAUGAAAAUAAGGAAUCUGGCAGGCCUCAAGUAGAGGCCUUCUAUAGUUUGGUCUCAGUCAAGGCAAGCCAAUUGUUUCAAACUUAUUUUAUUUCCUCUCAGAGGGUAAAAUAAUAUAGGUUUUGUUGAUUACAAGGCAUUGUAAUCGUUACUUUUUACUUUUUUUGUGAAUUGUUUAAUAGUUCUAAAUUGGAUCUAAAUUCAUUCAUGUUUUUUAAUAUAAAUUGAAAUAUAAAUAUCUUUUUACAUCCACAUUAUGGUGAGUUUUUAUAAAUGGAAAAAAUAUUAUUGCUAAUAAAUAUAUUACUAAGCACAAAGCCUCAGUAAUUACUGACGUUACAUAGAACGUAACAUUUUACGUCCCCACCGUGACUAUCCCCUCCCCCACCCCGCUGGAUUCACACCUGCGACACGGGCUGCGAGAUACUUCAGACACAGCGCGCUGCAGAGGAGAGAAGAUGUCUAAGGAUAAUGAAGAUGAAACUAGUUACAAGUCAUCUACGUAUGGCAGCUCUGGAUGUACAGUGGAUGAUCUGACAGAUGGUCCUGAAAAGACAACUACGAUAGAUGGUCCUGAAAAGAAGACAAAGGCUCAAAGCCAUCACCUGAGUCGCCUCCAAAAACUUAGAGCGCAUCAGAAUGUUUGUGAAGAUCGAUACUUGAAGGCGCAAACAAAAAUUUUAAAAGAUGAACGUGAAAAAACUUUAUUUUUACAUCAGCGCAUGACAACAAAGUUCAACACACGCACAACAGAAGAAUCCCCUUCAAAUUCAGAGUUGAGUGAGGAUGAAUAUAUACCAGAGACAGAGGAAGAAUCGGACUCUGAAUCAGAGGGUUUAGCAGAACAUAAGAUCAAACUGCAUAAGAGAAGAAAGGUUAAGUCAAAAACAACAAGAGCUCAAUCUUGUAAAAAAAGGCGUGUGACAUGUUCUAGUUCCUUGUCUACCAGUGGCACCAAAGAAUCCUCUUCAUCUGAUGAACAUGAAGGGAGAGAAUGCUCUUCACCUGAAAAAAAUGACACCCAACAAUCCUCUUCAUCUGAUGAACAUGAAGGCAGAGAAUCCUCUUCACCUGAAAAAAAUGACACCCAACAAUCCUCUUCAUCGAAUGAUCAUGCAAGCAGAGAAUCCUCUUCGCCUGAUAAUUCUGAUGUGACUGUCAUGAUGCUAAAGAAAAAAACUGAUGACCGCAGACUAUACAACAAAAAGUCCUACUGCUUUUUUUGUGCUAAACCAUUCAGUAAAAUGGCACGUCAUUUGGAAUCGCAGCACAAAGAUAAGCCAGAGGUGGCAAGAGCUGUUGCAUUUCCGAAAGGAUCUAAAGAGCGAAGAUUACAGCUGAUUUUAUUGAGAAAUAAAGGAAACCGUUGUCAUAAUACUGAGGUGAUUAAAGAAGGAAAAGGAAUGGUGAUACCCCGACAGCAAUCCAAGGCACCAGUAAGAGCAAGUGAUUACUUGCACUGCGUAAACUGUGCGGCGUACCUGAAGAGAAGAUCAUUAUGGAGGCACAUGCAGAGAUGCCAUCUAAACCAGAAAGUCAAAGGAAUGAAGCCAGGAAAAACUCGAGUUCAGUCCCUUUGCAUGUAUACUGAACCAGUUCCAGAGAGUGUGAAUGCACGUUUUUGGAAAAUGGUGCUUGAAAUGCAUGAGGAUGAGAUAACAAAUGUUGUCCGCAAAGAGAAGGUCAUCUUAAAAUUAGGGCAACAUCUCUUCAAUAAGCAUGGCCAUGAUGUCACAAAACAUGAAUAUAUCAGACAAAAGAUGCGUGAGACAGGGCGCCUAGUCCUCCAAGGAAAAAAGAACGGCAAGUUGAAGGAGGUUUCAGAUUUCUUCAUCCCUGCCAAUUUCCCUGAUGUAAUUGAAGCAGUUCACAGUGUGGCUGGCUUGAAUGAGGAGACGAGCACAUUCAAAGCACCAUCUUUAGCGCUGAAGUUGGGACACAACCUCAAGAAGAUGGCCAACAUUAUUGAAUGUGAGGCAAUGAUGUCAGAUGAUAAAAAUGCCCUUAGCAACGUGCAGGCCUUUAAAAAAAUCUGCGACACUAAAUGGAGUGAGUGUGUGUCAUCUCAGGCACUCCGAAAUUUGAGCGAGGCAAAAUGGAACUGUCCACAACUUCUUCCCUUUGCUGACGAUGUGAAAAAAAUGCACCAGUACCUUGACAGACAGAGUAAGGAAUACCAAGCAAAACUUGAAAAAGAACCAAGUAACAAGCACUGGGCAGAACUUGCAAAAGUGACACUCUGUCAGGUGAUACUUUUCAAUCGUAGAAGGGAAGGAGAGGUAUCCAAGAUGGCCCUUAAUGCUUUUAUAUUGAGGGAUACCUCAUCGACUCAUCCAGAUGUAGAGCUUGCUCUGUCAGACCUUGAGAAAAGACUUUGUAAGCACUUCCAGAGAAUCGAGAUAAGAGGCAAACGUGGACGAAAGGUCCCCAUUCUACUUACACCUGAAAUGAUGAAAUCAUUGGAGUUACUGGUGAACCAUCGCCGCGAGUGUGAUGUGCUUGAUGAGAAUGUAUUUGUGUUUGCGAGACCACAAGCCCUCAGCCACUUCAGAGGUUCAGAUGCUAUCCGUCAAAUAGCUCGAAGCUGUGGGGCUAAACAUCCAGAGGCAUUGUCCUCUACUAAACUGAGAAAGCACAUGGCCACGAUGUCCAAGGUCCUCAACUUGAAGGAUAAUGAAAUGGAUGACCUUGCUGACUUUUUAGGACAUGACAUCAGGGUGCAUCGGCAGUUCUACAGGCUACCUGAAGGUACCUUACAGCUGGCAAAAAUCAGCAAAGUUCUAAUGGCCAUGGAACGAGGUCAGAUAGUAGACUUCAAAGGAAAAAAUCUCGAUGAGAUCCAGAUUGAUCCAAAAGAGCGGGUACUGAUGGACAGUGAUGUAUCAGACUCUGAAAAUGAGAAAGAGAUGACUGGAAAUUAUCCUUCAAGUUCAGCAGGCAAAAACAAUAAACAACUGCAUCAGAUUGGCGAGGACUUAGAGGAACCACAUGCAACAAGCAAGAACGAUAAAAAACUGCAUCCGAUUGGCAAGGACUUGGAGAAACCACACCCAGCAAAGAAAUCUUCAAAAAACGCACGGAGAAAGUGGUCCACAGAAGAGAUCCAGGCUGUGGAAGAAACCCUGAUGGACUACAUCAGGUCUGGAAAAGUUCCUGGAAAAGCCCAGUGCAUGGAGUGCAUUGAAAGGUCCCCAGCAGCACUUCAAGGGAGAAGUUGGGAAGGGGUGAAAUUUUAUGUUAAAAAUCGCAUUGAUUCCAUGAAGCGUAAAAUGUAAAACGAUAGAGCCUUUAUCAAGAUGUUUUUCCCAUGUUUGUGGAUAGGAUCGCAUUGGUUUGUUGAAAACUUAAACUAAAAGUUAAAGGGCCUUUAUAGGGCUGGGUUAUAAUUUUAUGUUAAAAAUCACAUUGAUUCCAUGAAGCGUAAAAUGUAAAACGCUAGAGUCUUUAUCAAGAUGUUUUUCCCAUGUUUGUGGAUAGGAUCGCAUUAGUUUGUUAAAAACUUAAAAUAAAAGGUAAAGGGCCUUUAUAGGGCUGGGUGAUAUAUCACAUGUGAUUAUUUAUGCACAUCUCAUCAGUAAAGCAGUUUCCAUUAUUAGUAGUAAAUCGCUAUCACCUGCUUUCCAAAGAUCCUCUUUCAGAUGAAGCAGCAUUUACUACACAGAGACGUAGUUUCCUGACAAGCUAUGCAAUAUCACAUUAAUUAUUGUAGGUGAUACAUCCGUGAUAAUGAAUGUGAUAUUGCAUAGCUUGUUGGUAAACUACGUCUCUGUGUAGUAAAUGCUGCUUCAUCUGAAAGCUUUACUGAUGAGAUAUGCAUGAUAAUCACAUGUGAUAUGUCACCAAGCCCUAGGCCUUUAUCAAGAUGUAUUUUUCCCAUGUUUGUUGUUGGGAUGUUAAAUCAGUUAAAUAAAGAAUACUGACUAAUCAAGAGAUCUAUUUUUGUGUACUGUUACAAGCUUUUUAUAGAGAUGUAUUGCAAUAGAUCGUGCAACCCUGUUGAAUGCCAGGGAUGCAGUGUUUUAUUUUAGGAGUGGUCUCCAGUAUGGACAGAUCAUUUUUAUUUAGCAAAGGCCGUGAUACCCAUGGUGUAAUUUCCCCAUUGACAUUUCCUGUUUGUCAUACAACAUGUCUGUCUUAGUUAUCAAAGUUUGGACCUUUUCAGAUUGUCAAAAUUGAAGAAAAUUAGAUGUUAAACAGGAGUGAGGUAAGGCUUUACAUCCCUAGAAAUGGUCUUAAAAUGCAAAAGUUGAUGGUAAAUAGUGAAAUGUAAGAUAAAAGAAAAAAUUUAUUACAAUUUAAAUAGACAUAAUUCUUCCUUUAAAACAACUCUUUAAUGAUUGUCUAAACUAAAUCUUUAUUGUUGAUCAUAUACAGGUUUAUAAUUGUAUAAAAGUUAAAUUUCUAAUAGUGACAACUGGUGGUGGUUUGUGGUAAGGCACAAUAGCGAUGUCCCCACCAGAAUAGAAAAACCUGACAGAAAUUAAGCUUGCUAAACUUAAGAAUUUUUAAUAAUAAAUAUGUUUUUUGUUAAUAAAAAAUUCCCCCUGACACAUCUGACUUAAAAUUAUGGCUUUAUUGUAUUUAGAAAUUGCUGUCCCCACGUGUAACCUCCUAGUCAAGAGUCCCCACCAUGUAGCAUAAACAAGUAUGUGUGUGUGUGUGUGUGUGUGUGUUUGUGUGUAAUAUUGUGUGUGCAGGAAGAUUUGUCUGAGCCGAUACUGGAGGAGGAUUUUGAUGAAGGUUCAGGCGUUGUUUUCCCUUUUUAUGAUCCCGACACACAGCUGCUGUUUCUGGCUGGGAAGGGUGACGGCAACAUUCGUUAUUAUGAGGUCAGUGCAAUCAAAC